GUGGAUUAGAUACCCUGGUAGUCCACGCCCUAAACGAUGCGAACUAGGUGUUGGGGAAGGAGACUUCUUUAGUACCGUAGCUAACGCGUGAAGUUCGCCGCCUGGGGAGUACGGUCGCAAGAUUAAAACUCAAAGGAAUUGACGGGGACCCGCACAAGCGGUGGAUGAUGUGGAUUAAUUCGAUGCAACGCGAAAAACCUUACCUACCCUUGACAUGUCCGGAAUCCUGGUGAGAGCUGGGGGUGCCCGAAAGGGAACUGGAACACAGGUGCUGCACGGUCGUCGUCAGCU
rnacentral:rRNA from 1 species